rnacentral:sRNA from 1 species
CCGUCACCCCGACUCAACGUGAGACGCACCGCCCGGACUCACCAUGAUGAGAUCCGAAAUGGCCCAUACCGACAGCUCUUCCACCCAGAGCAGCUCAUCACUGGGAAAGAGGAUGCUGCCAACAACUAUGCCCGUGGUCACUAUACCAUUGGCAAGGAGAUCAUUGACCCAGUGCUGGAUCGGAUCCGCAAGCUGUCUGACCAGUGCACAGGACUUCAGGGCUUCCUGGUGUUCCACAGCUUUGGUGGGGGCACUGGCUCUGGCUUCACCUCACUCCUGAUGGAGCGGCUCUCUGUUGACUAUGGCAAGAAAUCCAAGCUGGAAUUCUCCAUCUACCCAGCCCCCCAGGUGUCUACAGCCGUGGUCGAGCCCUACAACUCUAUCCUGACCACCCACACCACCCUGGAGCACUCAGACUGUGCCUUCAUGGUGGACAACGAAGCAAUCUACGACAUCUGCCGCCGCAACCUAGACAUCGAGCGCCCAACCUAUACCAACCUCAAUCGCCUCAUUAGCCAAAUUGUCUCCUCCAUCACAGCUUCUCUGCGCUUUGACGGGGCCCUCAAUGUGGACCUGACAGAGUUCCAGACCAACCUGGUGCCCUACCCUCGCAUCCACUUCCCCCUGGCCACCUAUGCACCAGUCAUCUCUGCAGAAAAGGCAUACCACGAGCAGCUGUCGGUGGCAGAGAUCACCAAUGCCUGCUUUGAGCCUGCCAACCAGAUGGUGAAGUGUGAUCCCCGGCAUGGCAAGUACAUGGCCUGCUGCCUGCUGUACCGUGGAGAUGUGG